rnacentral:rRNA from 1 species
AUGCACUCUGAAGAAGAUGCAGCAGGCAACAAAGCGGCGGUCGAUGGAUUUCGACGAGAACUAUGGACAAAGCGGCGGUGCCUCCUCAGAAGCUUGUGCAAAUCCAACGCCGUCUUGGAGCCGCCACAAGUCGCCAUGGUUGGGUCCCACACGCUCACCGUGUGCAGCGUCUCCAAGCUCAGCGCGACGCUGAGGAACGGGGAGUGCAUCUACUCCACGCACUUCGCUGUUGGCGGGAGCACAUGGUACCUCAAAUUCUGCCCAAGAUGGCUCCAAUCCGGCAUCCUGUGGCUCGUCUUCGCAAGCAAGGGGGACGAGAUGACACCAACGACGGCGGAGUUCAGCUUCGAGUUCGAGGGGCUGGUGAACUUAGAGUCCCAGAAGACGAGGCACACGUUUGACCGUGACAAUGAUGACUUCUUCUACCAUCUGAAGUACACGGGAACAUCGCCCAUGCAGGACGACCGCCUCGUUGUUCGGUGCUGCCUUGCCGUUGUCACGCCGGAGGAGGUUCGGACCACCAUCCCAACGUGCAGCACCGCAUCAGUGCUAACUCCCCUGCUCAGCGCCAUGCAUGGGUUACAGAAGGCAGGCACUCAUUUGUAA